rnacentral:rRNA from 1 species
AGCAAUUAUACCGUGAAACUGCGAACGGCUCAUUAAAUCAGUUAUCGUUUAUUUGAUAGUACCUUACUACUUGGAUAACCGUGGUAAUUCUAGAGCUAAUACAUGCUAAAAACCCCAACUUCGGGAGGGGUGUAUUUAUUAGAUAAAAAACCAAUGCCCUUCGGGGCUCUCUGGUGAUUCAUAAUAACUUCUCAGAUCGCAUGGCCUUGCGCCGGCGACGGUUCAUUCAAAUUUCUGCCCUAUCAACUUUCGAUGGUAAGGUAUUGGCUUACCAUGGUUUCAACGGGUAACGGGGAAUUAGGGUUCGAUUCCGGAGAGGGAGCCUGAGAAACGGCUACCACAUCCAAGGAAGGCAGCAGGCGCGCAAAUUACCCAAUCCCAAUACGGGGAGGUAGUGACAAUAAAUACUGAUACAGGGCUCUUUAGGGUCUUGUAAUUGGAAUGAGUACAAUUUAAACCUCUUAACGAGGAACAAUUGGAGGGCAAGUCUGGUGCCAGCAGCCGCGGUAAUUCCAGCUCCAAUAGCGUAUAUUAAAGUUGUUGCAGUUAAAAAGCUCGUAGUUGAACCUUUGGCCUGGCUGGCGGGUCCGCCUCACCGCGUGCACUUGCCCGGCCGGGCCUUUUCUUCUGGAGAACCGCAUGCCCUUCACUGGGCGUGUUGGGGACCAGGACUUUUACUUUGAAUAAAUCAGAGUGUUCAAAGCAGGCAUUUGCUCGAAUACGUUAGCAUGGAAUAAUAGAAUAGGACGUGCGGUCUUAUUUUGUUGGUUUCUAAGACCGCCGUAAUGAUUAAUAGGGACAGUCGGGGGCAUCAGUAUUCAAUUGUCAGAGGUGAAAUUCUUGGAUUUAUUGAAGACUAACUACUGCGAAAGCAUUUGCCAAGGAUGUUUUCAUUAAUCAGUGAACGAAAGUUAGGGGAUCGAAGACGAUCAGAUACCGUCGUAGUCUUAACCAUAAACUAUGCCGAUCUAGGGAUCGGGCGGUGUUACUAUUUUGACUCGCUCGGCACCUUACGAGAAAUCAAAGU